rnacentral:tRNA from 1 species
UAUAAGUAACUUAAAGUAAAGAUUUUAAGUUAAAAAAACUAUUAACCUUCAAAGUUAGAAUUAUGUAAAUCUAAGCUUAAGUCUUA